rnacentral:rRNA from 1 species
UAAGGUGAUAUGAACCGUUAUAACCGGCGAUUUCCGAAUGGGGAAACCCAGUGUGACUCGUCACACUAUCAUUAACUGAAUCCAUAGGUUAAUGAGGCGAACCGGGGGAACUGAAACAUCUAAGUACCCCGAGGAAAAGAAAUCAACCGAGAUUCCCCCAGUAGCGGCGAGCGAACGGGGAGGAGCCCAGAGCCUGAAUCAGCAUGUGUGUUAGUGGAAGCGUCUGGAAAGGCGCGCGAUACAGGGUGAC